rnacentral:rRNA from 1 species
ACAUCAAGUCUGCUGUUAAAGGCUGGAGCUUAACUCCGGUAGAGCAGUGGAAACUGGUGUGCUAGAGGGCGACAGGGGUAGAGGGAAUUCCCAGUGUAGCGGUGAAAUGCGUAGAGAUUGGGAAGAACACCGGUGGCGAAAGCGCUCUACUGGGUCGCACCUGACCCUCAGGGACGAAAGCUAAGGUAGCGAAAGGGAUUAGAUACCCCUGUAGUCUUAGCCGUAAACGAUGGAUACUAGGCGUGGCUUGUAUCGACCCAAGCCGUGCCGAAGCUAACGCGUUAAGUAUCCCGCCUGGGGAGUACGCACGCAAGUGUGAAACUCAAAGGAAUUGACGGGGGCCCGCACAAGCGGUGGAGGAUGUGGUUUAAUUCGAUGCAACGCGAAGAACCUUGCCAGGGCUUGACAUCCCGCGAAUCUCGGUGAAAGCCGAGAGUGCCUUCGGGAGCGCGGAGACAGGUGGUGCAUGGCUGUCGUCAGCUCGUGUCGUGAGAUGUUGGGUUAAGUCCCGCAACGAGCGCAACCCUCGUCCUUAGUUGCCAGCCUUAAGUGGGGCACUCUAGGGAGACUGCCGGUGACAAACCGGAGGAAGGUGAGGAUGACGUCAAGUCAGCAUGCCCCUUAUGCUCUGGGCGACACACGUCCUACAAUGGUCGGGACAAAGGGGAGCGAGCUCGCGAGAGUCAGCGAAUCCCAGCAAACUCGGCCUCAGUUCAGAUGGCAGGCUGCAACUCGC